rfam:Macrostomum lignano unitig_28208, whole genome shotgun sequence.
UAUCUGGUUGAUCCUGGCCAGUAGUCAUAUGCUUGUCUCAAAGAUUAAGCCAUGCAUGUCUAAGUACAACCCUUAAUACGGUGAAACGCGCGAAUGGUCAUUAAAUCAGCUAUGGUUCCUUAGAUCGUCUCAUCCUAUCUCGAUAACUGUGGAAAAAAUCCUAGAGCUAAUACGUGCUUACAAGCCCUGACCUCCACGGGAGGGGCGCAUUUAUUAGAUCAAAACCAAUCGGGCUUGCCCCGUCUGCUUGUGUACUCUGGAUAACUUUUUGUGCUGAUCGCAUGGCCUCGCGCUGGCGACGUACUUUCAAGUGUCCUGCCCCUAUCAACUUACGAUUGGUAGGUGAUAUGCCUACCAUGGUUAUAACGGUAACGGGAAUCAGGGUUCGAUUCCGGAGAGGGAGCCUGAGAACGGCUACCACAUCUAAGGAAGGCAGCAGGCGCGCAAAAUUAACCCACUCCGCACGGGGAGGUAGUGACGAAAAUAAGAUACGGGACUCUUGAGGCCCCGAUAAUUGGAAUGAAGUACAACUUUAAAUCCGUUAAAAAGUAUCUAUUGAGGGCAAAGUCCUGGUGCCAGCAGCCGGGCGGUAAUUCCAGCUCCCAAUACGUAUAAUUAAUGUUGCUGCAGUUAAAAAGCUCGUUAGUUUGGAUCUGAGGACUCGAAUUGGUGGUGGGGCAGCCAUACGGUGUUACUGCCGAUUCGGCCUACCUAAGUCGUGGCUCGCUCUUGUGUUCUUUAAUUGUAAUGCCCUGAGUGCCCGCAAGUUUACUUUGAUAAAAAUUAGAGUGGCUCAAGCAGCCAUUAGCCGGAAUACUUCAGAUGGAAUAAUGGAAUACGGCUUCGGUUCUAUUUUGUUGGUUUUUUCGAACGCCGAGGUAAAUGAUUAAGAAGACAGACGGGGGCAUUCGUAUGCGUGGUGUUAGAGGUGAAUUCUUAGAUCGCCGCAAGACGAACUAACAUGCGAAAGCAUUGCCAACGAAUGUUUUCAUUAAUCAAGAACGAAAGUCAGAGGUUCGAAGAACGAUCAGAUACCGUCCUAUUCUGACCAUAAACGAUGCCAACUGGCGAUCCCGAGAUCGUUUGCUUAUUGACCUCUCGGGCUAAGGCCCCUCACGGGAACCAAAGUUUUUAGAGUUUUGGGACGGGGGGAAGUAUGCGUUUGCAAUAGCUGGAAACUUAAAGGAACCUUGACGGGAGGGAACACCACCAGGAGUGGAGCUCGCGCGCUCUAAUUUGAGACUCAACACGGGAAAACUCACCCGCCCGACCACUGUUAGCGAUUUGCAGAUUGAGAGCGUCUUUCUUGAUUCGGUGGGGUUGUGGUGCAUGGGCCCUUCUUUAGGCUGAUAGUUGGUGGAGCGAUUACUGUCGGUUAAUUCGAUAACGAACGAGACUCGUAGCCUGCUAAAUAGUACGUGCCGAUACCUUUUCGUCGUGACUGAUCUCUUAGAGGGACAGGCGUCUUGAAAGCGCACGAGAUGAGCAUACAGGUCGUGAUGCCCUUAGAUGUUCGGGGCCGCCACGCGCUGUUACCACUGAAGGCACAUGCGAGUUUUUCCUGGUUCGAAAAGAACCGGGUAAAUCUGAUUGAGAAUUCCCUUCGUUGACAGGGAUCGGGCUUGCAUUAUCCCCAUGAACGAGGAAUUCCCAGUAAGCGAAGGUAUCAGCUGCUUAGAUUACGUCCCUGCCCUUUGUAACACACCGCCGUCGCUACUACGAUUAAUGGUUUAGCAAGGUCCUCGGAUUGGUGCCUUACUUGCGGCAACACUAGUCCGGAUACUGAAAAGAAGAUCAACUUUGAUCUUUAGAGCAUAGUAAAAGUCGUUACAAGGUAUUCCGUAAGGUGAACCUGCGGAAAGGUCAUUC